GAGGGUGUAACUCAGUGGCAGAGCCCUUGCCUAGCAUGCAUGAGACCCUGGGUUCAGUUCCCAGCACCCCUG
rnacentral:tRNA from 1 species